rnacentral:tRNA from 1 species
AAGGGUAUAGCUCAAGUGGUAGAGCACAUGCUUAGCAUGCACGAAGUCCUGGGUCCAAUCCCCAGCACCUCCA